GAUGAACGCUGGCGGCGUGCCUAAUACAUGCAAGACGAGCGAACAGACGAGGAGCUUGCUCCUUUGACGUUAGCGGCGGACGGGUGAGUAACACGUAGGUAACCUACCUAUAAGACUGGGAUAACUUCGGGAAACCGGAGCUAAUACCGGAUAAUAUUUCGAACCGCAUGGUUCGAUAGUGAAAGAUGGCUUUGCUAUCACUUAUAGAUGGACCUGCGCCGUAUUAGCUAGUUGGUAAGGUAACGGCUUACCAAGGCAACGAUACGUAGCCGACCUGAGAGGGUGAUCGGCCACACUGGAACUGAGACACGGUCCAGACUCCUACGGGAGGCAGCAGUAGGGAAUCUUCCGCAAUGGGCGAAAGCCUGACGGAGCAACGCCGCGUGAGUGAUGAAGGUCUUCGGAUCGUAAAACUCUGUUAUUAGGGAAGAACAAACGUGUAAGUAACUGUGCACGUCUUGACGGUACCUAAUCAGAAAGCCACGGCUAACUACGUG
rnacentral:rRNA from 1 species